AGGCGACAACAAACGAGGAGCACAUUGCUAAGAUGUCAGAGAUCAAGAAUGCCUGAAAUGGAAACUUCUUGGACAUGAUGGGAAGUCCCUCAUUUCCAGCACCACUGCCAUAUCCUCCAGGCAGGGUGAAUGCAGCGGCAAAGCAUUAAUCGCCUGUUGCUUGGCUUCAUCAUGAAGAUUAUAAAUAGACGCGGCAUCUCGAGGAUCCGCUUUUAGCAUAAGCAUCCUCACUUCAUUCUGCAUGAAUUCAAUGUAAGGUACGAACUGAGCUCACAACACAAUAAACUGGCUAUUCCACAUUCUUCAUUA